ACACGAAGACAGCGAGCGAGACGGUGACGGGGAGAGGAAGGGCACAUUUUAAAUAGGACCUGGUCGGGAAGGCCUUACGGGACGCUUAAGAACGGGAAGAAGGAGACCCGGGAAAGAGCAUUCCACACCGAGGGGCCAGCACAAAGGUCCUGUGGCCAGCAGGAGACCAUCAUGCCCCAGGCAGAGCCAGAGAGACAUGAGGCCAGGCGUGAGCCACUCCCUCCUCUGGCCACUGCCCCUGCAGCUUCUCCUGUCACUCAGGACAGGCCAGCCACGGGGCAGGGGCAGCCCAGAGGCUCCCGGAGGGCAGAGGAGGACAGCGAAGUUCUUCAUGAGCCACGAGAUCAGCUCGACUGUCACCAACUAACCUGUUUGAGCAGCCGCUUUCCCACCCAACCGUU